AUUGAACGCUGGCGGCAGGCCUAACACAUGCAAGUCGAACGAGCGGCGGACGGGUGAGUAAUGUAUGGGAAACUGCCCGAUGGAGGGGGAUAACUACUGGAAACGGUAGCUAAUACCGCAUACCAUCGGAUGUUCCCAUAUGGGAUUAGCUAGUAGGUGGGGUAACGGCUCACCUAGGCGACGAUCCCUAGCUGGUCUGAGAGGAUGAACAGGCACACUGGGACUGAGACACGGUCCAGACUCCUACGGGAGGCAGCAGUGGGGAAUAUUGCACAAUGGGCGCAAGCCUGAUGCAGCCAUGCCGCGUGUAUGAAGAAGGCCUUAGGUUUGUAAAGUACUUUCAGCGGGGAGGCGUUACCGGCAGAAGAAGCACCGGCUAACUACGUGCCAGCAGCCGCGGUAAUAC
rnacentral:rRNA from 1 species